rnacentral:lncRNA from 1 species
UUUUGCCAGGGACCUUUUUGUCAUUGGGAAUUUAGAGACUGGGUUUGUAAAGGGUUGGUUAAGUCAGAAUACAAAGAAAACUCCUGAGCAACUAUUGUGGCAGGCCAUCUUCUUUCAAAGGCUACCAGAGGCCUGUACCAGGAGACUCCACCCAGAAGGAGAAUGAGCAAGGGACCAACAAGUGACAGCUUCUUUAGCCCUGCAGAGCUGGAGCUCUGUUGUCUAGGCCAUGGAUUUGCACUGAAAUAGGAAUUAUUGGAAUAAAUAAAUGAGGUCAUUAUAACCUUCCAUAAAGCCAGAGUGUCGUUGUCUUGAAGCAGGGAGAUCAAAGAAGCAAAGACCAGGCUGAUGUACAAUUAUUAUUUUCCUUCAACUGCAAGAAUUAGUGACUCUAGCUGCCUGAGAAGUGGGAAGGAGGAAUUGUGACUAUGCUCACUUAAAUACUAUUUAAGUAGCAUUACUGUCUCUCUAGAUCUCAAUCGAAACGCAUGCUUUCCAAUCUUUUUUUAAUCUGUAGCCCAUAAGUUUUGUCCCCUGGCAAGGCAGUCCUGGGUGGAUGGAAGGUCAGCAUAUUGACAGUCUUCUUCACUGCUUUCCAUUCAUGUCUUAAAAUCUGGAGUUGCAGACAGCCUAUUUUUACUUCUGAGUAAAUGCAAGGAGUUUACUUGAAUUUACUGUUGCUGUUCACUGUAGUUGUUUAAGGUGCAGUCUAUCACCACCUGUUUACAAUAUACAAAAGAUGAGAAGGAAGCAAGUUUUCCAGAAGCCUUAAAAUUGUAGUGAUCACCCAUUAGGUAAAUUGUGCAUCCGUCCUUCUGGGGAUUUUUGCCUUAAUAAGUGUAAUCAAAAGGUUGUAUCAGGUGACGUCAAUAUUUAAUAUUUUUUCAGAACUUUGGACGCCAUGGGAAAGGUGCAAGGAAAUUAAGACAGGAACUGAGACUGGAGAAAAAGGUAAAGCAAGAACUGGAAAAGAAGAACUCACAAGUGAAAAACAUAACGCCAUUGGUCAGUACUUGCUUAGGGGAGCUGAAAAGGUCAGAGUGUGUUCAUACCACGUGCACCAUCUUUCUGAGUUCAGUUUGCAACUCCAUCUCUGA